GAUGAACGCUGGCGGCGUGCCUAAUACAUGCAAGUCGAGCGAACCGAUUAAGAGCUUGCUCUUAAGAAGUUAGCGGCGGACGGGUGAGUAACACGUGGGUAACCUGCCUAUAAGACUGGGAUAACUCCGGGAAACCGGGGCUAAUACCGGAUAACAUUUUGCACCGCAUGGUGCGAAAUUGAAAGGCGGCUUCGGCUGUCACUUAUAGAUGGACCUGCGGCGCAUUAGCUAGUUGGUGAGGUAAAGGCUCACCAAGGCGACGAGGCGUAGCCGACCUGGGAGGGUGUUCGGCCACACUAGGACUGAGACACGGCCCAGACACCUACGGGAGGCAGCAGUAGGGAAUCUUCCGCAAUGGACGAAAGUCUGACGGCGCAACGCCGCGUGAGCGAUGAAGGCCUUCGGGUCGUAAAGCUCUGUUGUUGGGGAAGAACAAGUGCGAGAGUAACUGCUCGUACCUUGACGGUACCUAACCAGAAAGCCACGGCUAACUACGUGCCAGCCGCCGCCGUAAGAC
rnacentral:rRNA from 1 species